GGAGGGCUCGCAUAGUGGCCGAGUGCGACGGUCUUGAAAACCGUUGAGGCGCGGGAGCGUCUCCGUGGGUUCAAAUCCCACGCCCUCCG
rnacentral:tRNA from 1 species